CCUACGGGGAGCAGCAGUGGGGAAUAUUGGGCAAUGGGCGCAAGCCUGACCCAGCAACGCCGCGUGAAGGAAGAAGGCUUUCGGGUUGUAAACUUCUUUUAACAGGGAAGAGCAGAAGACGGUACCUGUUGAAUAAGCCACGGCUAACUACGUGCCAGCAGCCGCGGUAAUACGUAGGUGGCAAGCGUUAUCCGGAUUUAUUGGGUGUAAAGGGCGUGUAGCCGGGCUGGCAAGUCAGAUGUGAAAUCUCAGGGCUCAACCCUCGACCUGCAUUUGAAACUGUUUGUCUUGAGUCCCGGAGAGGCAAUCGGAAUUCCGAGUGUAGCGGUGAAAUGCGUAGAUAUUAGGAGGAACACCAGUGGCGAAGGCGGACUGCUGGACAGCAACUGACGCUGAGGCGCGAAAGCGUGGGGAGCAAACAGGAUUAGAUACCCCGGUAGUC
rnacentral:rRNA from 1 species